UUUUAUGGGGCUUUUCCGCCUUUAAUGGACAAGACUGCUAGGUGAGAAAGGGGGGAAAAGAGAGGGGGAAGACAUGCAGGAAAAGGUCAAAGGUUGGACUUGAACCCUGGACGUCUGCAUCGACGCAUAAACCUCUAAGUGCAUACAUACACCCGCUCUACCAACUGAGC